GGGUUGUGAGGUUAAGCGACUAAGCGUACACGGUGGAUGCCCUGGCAGUCAGAGGCGAUGAAGGACGUGCUAAUCUGCGAUAAGCGCCGGUAAGGUGAUAUGAACCGUUAUAACCGGCGAUUUCCGAAUGGGGAAACCCAGUGUGACUCGUCACACUAUCAUUAACUGAAUCCAUAGGUUAAUGAGGCGAACCGGGGGAACUGAAACAUCUAAGUACCCCGAGGAAAAGAAAUCAACCGAGAUUCCCCCAGUAGCGGCGAGCGAACGGGGAUGAGCCCAGAGCCUGAAUCAGCAUGUGUGUUAGUGGAAGCGUCUGGAAAGGCGCGCGAUACAGGGUGACAGCCCCGUACACAAAAGCGCAUAUGCUGUGAGCUCGAUGAGUAGGGCGGGACACGUGGUAUCCUGUCUGAAUAUGGGGGGACCAUCCUCCAAGGCUAAAUACUCCUGACUGACCGAUAGUGAACCAGUACCGUGAGGGAAAGGCGAAAAGAACCCCGGCGAGGGGAGUGAAAAAGAACCUGAAACCGUGUACGUACAAGCAGUGGGAGCCCCACCACUAAGCCAGUGGUGAACUCCACAUACGCAUCCUUUGCUGAGGAUGCGGUUAACGGAGCGAAAGCGACGUUCAACCGCAAAAGAAGCAGAGGGGGCUUAGUGGUGGGGUGACUGCGUACCUUUUGUAUAAUGGGUCAGCGACUUAUAUUCUGUAGCAAGGUUAACCGAAUAGGGGAGCCGGAGGGAAACCGAGUCUUAAUUGGGCGUUAAGUUGCAGGGUAUAGACCCGAAACCCGGUGAUCUAGCCAUGGGCAGGUUGAAGGUUGGGUAACACUAACUGGAGGACCGAACCGACUAAUGUUGAAAAAUUAGCGGAUGACCUGUGGCUGGGGGUGAAAGGCCAAUCAAACCGGGAGAUAGCUGGUUCUCCCCGAAAGCUAUUUAGGUAGCGCCUCGUGAAUUCAUC
rnacentral:rRNA from 1 species